UACGUAGGGUGCAAGCGUUAAUCGGAAUUACUGGGCGUAAAGCGUGCGCAGGCGGUUAUGUAAGACAGAUGUGAAAUGCCCGGGCUUAACCUGGGAACUGCAUUUGUGACUGCAUGGCUAGAGUUUGGCAGAGGGGGGUAGAAUUCCACGUGUAGCAGUGAAAUGCGUAGAUAUGUGGAGGAACACCGAUGGCGAAGGCAGCCCCCUGGGUCAAGACUGACGCUCAGGCACGAAAGCGUGGGGGAGCAAAC
rnacentral:rRNA from 1 species